AGAAAAAAAUGUCAGCUCAACAUCAUGGGUGAGAAGAUAAAUUUUUGGAAGUACUAAUGACAUAGAUUUUAUGUUGUGUUAGUAUGGCGUUGGGAGCUAACGUCCUUUGUUCUGUUCGUUAUGAGCUUUUUAAGAUUGGUUUCUACAUGAUGACAAAAAAAAAUUGCAUGGAAAUUGCAACCAUGGAGUUCAUAAUACAAUGGAGUUCAUAAUAAAGGUAACGAGAUGAUUUGCUAAUGUAUUCCCCAAAAUGAAGGAAAUCAGUGUGAUCAGAACAAAUGGUGAUGAGACUUCUCCAAAUAGGCCGUUUCUUCUCAUGUUACUUGUCUCUUGUUAUGCCGAUACUUCAAUGGCAUCACAUAUAUUAACGAGUCGUUAAACAGCAUAGUACCUUCCAUUCAUGUGUGGUUCCUUUUGAAAUCACGCAACAUCUCCAAUUCAUAGAUCUGCGCCUGUCUUUAUAUAGGUAGAUAAAAUUAUCUAUUUUUGAGAUAGGAAUUGAAGUAGUAGAUCUUUUAGCUCCUACAAAACCGAACCAUUUUUAGAUUGAUAUUUUGGCUGAAUAUUUUUUGAAAUAAUUUUGGAAUUACCUCCCACCACUACCAAUACAUAAUAUUAGUUUUCUUUCUCUUGAGAUUUUACAUGUGAUCUUUCCAAUCACGAACAUCUAUGUCCUUGCUGCCAAUCACAAGCUAGCGGGGCUCAUAUUUAGUGCUUCAAUUUCAUUGAAUGGGCCACAAUUGGUAGACUUGCUCGCUUCGUUUUAGUUGCCACCUUAAAAUUUUCUUUUGUAGAUGAGUAUUGUUGGGAGUACUAGCAAGAUUGCCCAAGGUCAAGUCUGCUCUGGGGGCGAUAGCUAAAAUCCCAUACAUAUUAGCAGAUAAAAAAUAAGUAAAGAUAUAUGCUCCAGUAUUCUUCAUUUGUAUGGAAAGUUUGAAACGUAAAAAAUUACAUUAGAUCAAUUUUUCUGCUGAUCAUGCCUACUACUUUUUCUGUUAGUGCAGCUCUGUCCCCUCUCCUGACCCAAUCCCAAUGUCUCACUUUCUCCUGAUGCACUUGGAACAUUCUUGUUGUAUAAUUGCUAAAGGUAAGCAUCGUGGGUCAUGCUAUACCGCCGCUAUUGAAAAUCGUGAUAAAUGGUGAUGUGGUGAAAUCUAUACCAUGGAAUUUGAAAGCAACGAUUGGGAUCUAAAGAUUCCAGCAGGUAAAAUUAUCCCAAGAAAUUUAGAGGACCUUAAUCCAAGUUCAUGCACCAGCAUUUACACAUUCCGGGAGACGGGAGUGGGGGAAAAAAGGAAAACAAAAAACAGAUAGAUCUAUUGGUGACCAUUUAUUAUUUGAAAAGCAAAGAUAAAAGUGGGAGCAACAAACAGAAUGUAAUCAAACUAUAUGUUAAAGAGAUGUUCUUCGAGCUACUUUUAAGAUUGUUCUCCUCGAAUCACAGUCACGUCAAGACUUGUGAGAAUA